rnacentral:rRNA from 1 species
GCUCACGGCCAUAUCAGCCUGGGUACGCCCGAUCUCGUCUGAUCUCGGAAGCUAAGCAGGGUCGGGCCUGGCUAGUACUUGGAUGUGAGACCGCCUGGGAAUACCAGGUGCUGUAAGCA